rnacentral:rRNA from 1 species
CACUCAACAGCUAGCCCACACAAUGUUUACCCAACACUCAAAUAUUAAUAAUACCAAAAGUCCUAAUACCCCAAAACCAAACCAUUUUUCCACUUAAGUAUAGGUGAUAGAAAAAGAUUCUUCGGCGCAAUAGAGAAAGUACCGCAAGGGAACGCUGAAAGAGAAGUGAAACAAUUCAGUUAAGUAAAGAAAAGCAGAGCUUUAACCUCGUACCUUUUGCAUCAUGUUCUAGCUAGAGACCAUCAAGCGAAAAGCAUUUUAGUUUGACAACCCGAAACUAAGUGAGCUACCCCAGGACAGCCUAAGAAUAGGGCCAACCCGUCUCUGUGGCAAAAGAGUGGGAAGAUCUUCGGGUAGAGGUGAUAAGCCUACCGAACUUAGUUAUAGCUGGUUACCUAGAAAUUGAAUAGAAGUUCAGCCUCUUGAAUUCUCCCCUCUUUUAUGGGCCUCUGCCUUGAAUUAAGACCAAGAGAAAUCUAGAGAGUUAGUCACAGGGGGUACAGCCCCUCUGAAACAAGAUACAACUUUAUUUAGGAGGAUAAGGAUCAAACUCGACUAAGGCAAAAUAUUUUAGUGGGCCUAAAAGCAGCCACCACAAAAGAAAGCGUUAAAGCUCGGAUAUUUUUAAAAGCCCCUAAUUCUGAUCACAAAAUCCAACUCCCCUUUAUUUACUAGGUCUUCCCAUAACUACCUAUGGGAGCGAUCAUGCUAGUAUGAGUAAUAAGAGGCAUGAGCCUCUCCACGCACAGGUGUAAUUCGGAACGGACAUACCACCGAAAAUUAUUCGCUCCCAAAAUCAGAGGGCACUGGGCUAAAAAAAGAAAACUAGAAAACCGCCCAAACCCCAGCGUUAACCCUACACUGGUGCGCAAACAUGGAAAGACUAAAAGGAAGAGAAGGAACUCGGCAAACUUAUAUAAAGCCUCGCCUGUUUACCAAAAACAUCGCCUCUUGCCUGACUAACAUAAGAGGUCCCGCCUGCCCUGUGACUAUAAGUUUAACGGCCGCGGUAUUUUGACCGUGCAAAGGUAGCGCAAUCACUUGUCUUUUAAAUGAAGACCCGUAUGAAUGGCACGACGAGGGCUUAACUGUCUCCUCUCCCCAGUCAAUGAAAUUGAUCUCCCCGUGCAGAAGCGGGGAUACAACCAUAAGACGAGAAGACCCUGUGGAGCUUUAGAUAAUAGAACAGACCAUGUUAAUACUCCCCAACUAAGGGGCAAAACUAAUUGGACCCUGUCCUUAUGUCUUUGGUUGGGGCGACCGCGGGGCAAAGAAAACCCCCCACGUGGAAUGGGAGCACCUCCUCCUACAACUAAGAGUGACAGCUCUAAGUACCAGAACAUCUGACCAUUUUGAUCCGGCUUACUGCCGAUCAACGAAACGAGUUACCCCAGGGAUAACAGCGCAAUCCUCUUUUAGAGCCCGUAUCGACAAGAGGGUUUACGACCUCGAUGUUGGAUCAGGACAUCCUAAUGGUGCAGCCGCUAUUAAGGGUUCGUUUGUUCAACGAUUAAUAGUCCUACGUGAUCUGAGUUCAGACCGGAGUAAUCCAGGUCAGUUUCUAUCUAUGGAAUGAUUUCUUCUAGUACGAAAGGACCGAAGAGAAGGGGCCCAUACUUUAAGUACGCCCCAUCCUUACCUAAUGAAAACAACUAAAAUAGGCAAAAGGGCAUGCCCCUUUGUCUGAGAUAAUGACAU